rfam:Desulfobulbaceae bacterium A2 Ga0073110_1052, whole genome shotgun sequence.
CGGGGCGGGCGCAUGAUCGCUCCGGGGCCUGGCCCCGGGGAGGAAAGUCCGAACACCGCAGGGCACGGUGGUUCGUAACGCGAACGCCGGGAAACCGGGGGAAAGUGCCACAGAAAAGACACCGCCGCCGGUCUUCGGGCCGGGGGUAAGGUUGAAAUGGCGAGGUAAGAGCUCACCGCCGGCCUGGCGACAGGUCGGGCACGGCAAACCCCACCGGGUGCAAAACCGAAUAGGGAAACGCUUGAGGGUGGCCCGUCCGAUGUUUCCGGGUAGGUUGCAUGAGGCGCCGGGCGACCGGCGUCCUAGAGAAAUGAUCAUGACCCCGCGCAAGCGGGGGACAGAAUUCGGCUUACAGCCCGCCCCGGACU